GCGUGAUGGAGCUUUUCUCUCUGCUUUGCAUUGUGUCGGGGAAUGCUGAGCAGCUCGGAGAGGCUCUGUGCAUGGGAGCUGGAGCAUGACGCUGCUUACAGCCUUGGCUUGGAGUCUCAUCCUUUGGAACCGCAGCUCUGUCCUGUCUCUCUGCCCAGUGCUGAGCUGGGAUGGGGACAAACAGCCCCGCAGCGCAGCCCCAGCCCUGCCCCCACCCCACCCUGCCCAGCUCGGGCUCAUCGGCAGCGCUGUGCCAAAUGCUUCUGGGUAUCCGGAGGAAUUUCCUAACAGAUGAAGGCUUCUGCCUUUGAAGUCUUCGGCUGCCUGCAAAAUGAAGCCUGGAGGUUAGAGCAGCUCAGAAUAUCACUAGAUCUUGGAAAAAAUGCCGGAGACUGGUCCUCGUUAUCGCACCGCAGACUGAUGGGUUCCUAAAGCCGACAAGCUGAGUGCUCCAUCUGCAAGAGAUUGUUUCUUGACAUGAAAAAUUUACUUUUUAAUGGGCCAAACUGCUGCACUCUCUAAGCUGGAUCCAAAAUAGCCUCUUAGCACAUCGCUCUGAAGGGAUCUCCAGCCACCGACCAUAAAGCCGAAGCACUGCUCGUACUAAAAACCCACUUACAAGCCAUUCCCUCCUUGUCCUUUUGCUUUCCCACCAUGGUUCUAAAGCUCCAGCGCUCACUUCUGGAAAUGGCAAAUGAUCUUUUGGAACCGAACAACUAAUAGCUUUUGUUUUAUCUGCAUUAUUUUCCUCCCUGGGAUCCAAGGAGGCUGUGGAUGCCCCAUCCCUGCAGGCAUUCAAGGCCAGGCUGGAUGUGGCUCUGGGAAGUCUGGUCUGCUGGUUGGUGACCCUGCACAUAGCAGGGCGUUGGAACUCUAUGGUCAUUGUGGUCCUUUUCAACCCAGGCCAUCCUAUGGUUCUAUGAAAUGGCACUGAGGUGGCAUUGGAACUGGAGGAGGGGACGGAGAGCUCAGAGCUGACGAGAUGCUGGGAAGCGCCUCAUCCCUCCCUUAAUCUUCAUUUUUUUUUGUUUCAGUCUCUUAAUUGUGAAACAUUCAGCCUUUUGUGUGCAUGAUGAUGGGGCAGAAGAUAGUGAUAAAAUAGUUCAAAUUAAUAAGAUUAUUAAGUAACGUCUGCUGCUGGUAAUUCCUCACUCGAGCGGGUGUGCGGCGCGCUGUAAUUAGUUUUCUGCUUCGCUGGAGCACGCUUCAAGGAGCAGGGAGGUUUUUGGGGAGAGAAUGCUGAAAGCUGAGCUUGUGAUGGAACAGAUUUGUGACAGCUGGGGAUGGGAGGGUGCUGUCCCUGGGGGGUAUGUGGGCGCAGGGCUGUGCCUGCAUCCCAGGCCUUGUGGCACAGGCAGAGCUCCUGGUGAGGGGUUUGUGCUUCUGCCCUCAGCCUGCACCCAGGGCUGCCCCAUUUGGCAGAUGCCUGCUCCAGGGUUCUGUUGGUGGAUGAGGGAAGGAUACUGCAAUAGGAGGAGAGGAGGCGAUACCCUGGGAGAGGGGAGCCCUCAGUUUGUUACCCUGGCAAAUAAUGGAUAAGGGGUCGAUGCCAUCAGCCUGGGUUGGCAGUGGUAAUGGAUGGCCUCGCAGGUAAAUCAUCUCAUCUGAGCCACAGAAUGAUGUGGAAAUGGGGAGAAUAAAAAUCUACUCUCUGUUCUGAAAUAGCAGCCGGUAUUCUGCAGGCGGGGCCCUGCUUCACACCUCACGGCACUGCCAACAGCUUUCAUCCCCACUAAGUUCUGGGUGCCCUCAGGGUGGCCCGGUGCCCCUGCCCAUGGCUGCAGGCCCUGCACGCUGAGCUCUGCGCGUUGCUCUGCUGCCUGCAACAUCAGCCGGCUGCUAAUUCUGCAGUGUCAGUUGUUUGGCGGCUCGUUUUGGUUAGCUAAAGGCAAACAUCUGUGACUCGGAUGCAGAAAGCCUCCCUCUUCCCUGUGUCAACAGUUUUAUUUUUAAACCCAUACGCAAAGUGAGAGGUGCAUCCCUUAUCUCGUGUACGGCGGCCGCAUAUGUAACACCGUCAUAUAAUUAACAGUCAAGAUCAUUUACAUUGUCGCUUAGCUAAUUUUCAUAAUGUUUUCUUUAUUAUCAGAGGAAGAAAUUAACCCAAGAAUUUAUUUACAUACUAGUCUCAAACAGUAACAGCUUGCUAAUUGCCUGUUAGGUGAUUAAUAAGCUUACAGCAGAUGCUAAUGAAUCGAGAGCUCACUGCUUCAAAGGUGCUCUUGCAGCAUGCUUGUGUUUUGGC
ensembl:lncRNA